ensembl:lncRNA
GGAAAAGGCACAGUGCUUCCCUGAGAACAGAUGGGGAGGAAAUAGGAGCAAAGUCCAUCCUCCCAGAGGUACCAAUGCAGCCAAUGGCUGACACAUUCCUCUUCAGUGACCUACACCAGGGAGGCAUCAACAGGCUGAAGAUGACGGAGAAGGAGAUGCUGUAAGAAGGACAGACCCCCAGAUCUGCAAUGCUACCACUACCAUCCACAGUAAUGGCUAAAUUACAGGGCCAUGGAGCAGGAUCCAAGAGUAUGUGCUACAUGUGUGUUCCUGACCUUCCCAGGUUGAAUUUCCAUGGGACAGCUGAAAUCUCCAGCACUGGUGUAAGGCUGAAGCUGGCUGGCUACCCUGCUCAAGGGAGGGUUUCAUAGAGAGAAGGAAGCUUCUUCUAAAGCUGCAUCCAGGAGUUGGACUCAAAGGCCUUUAUGAUUCCCUUCCAACUUGGGAUAUUCUGGUUCUGUCUCCACUGCACUGGGGGCUGGACAAGACAAUCUCCAGAGAUCCCUUCCAACCCCUAGGAUUAUGUGGGUCUGUGGAUGCUGAAUUGUUAGAGGCUGUCCUCUGUGCCACCCAAGAGCUCCUUGCAGACAUAAUUUUGAAGUCCUGGUCAAGGGUGCAAAGUGUCCAACUGUAGCAUAUGGCUCAUUUUUCUCUGAAGCACCAUGCCUGUGCUGUGCUGAAAUAUUUAGCAGAUAAGGAGCACUUGUUCCUCUGGACCUGAGAUGCCAAUUUCAUCCUGGACAGUUUUUUCCUGAAGUGAGGAUUUAGGGUGCUGAGGAAAGCCAUAAUCUCUCCUUUUGGUGCCCUCCUUGGUGUUUCGCUGAAGUUCAAUGGCUGACAACAUGCAGGACGUCACACUAGAAAACCUCAUGGUUAUUUCUUGACUUCAAUUCUCGUGCCUUUCUGAAAUUGCUAAAGAAAAUGAAUGCCCUUGCUAGUGAGCACCUAAAUAUAAGGUGGCAAAUCUUGGCAAUCAUUGGCCAGGUUAGCUCAUAUUCACCCUAACAAAGCAGAAUUAUACAUUGGUAAGUAAGUGCUGUUGUAGGGUUUUUGCAGAAAUGUGAGGAACAAUCUGAUCUCAUACAUAGUGAAGCAAGUGUAGUAGCUUUAACUGACAUUAAAAGAAAUCAAUAGAGCAUGAUCCAGAUGUUUGCUGAAGUAUUCAAGUUGUAACAGCAGCUGCCUCACUCAUGUCCAAAGUGACUGCAAACAAUGAGUUAGACCAGUCAUAGAGUGGGAGGAAUCCUGGGAGGACUGACCAAGUUGCUGAUGAAAUCAUGGCCGAUCUCCCAGCUAGAUCCAACUUUGACAUCAGAUCCAAGUUACCUAUGGCCUUGUCCAGUCAAAUUUUGAAUAUUUUCAAGUGGACGGGUGUAGCACUCUGGAACACACAAUUAGUGCAGGGUGCACACAACACGGUGCAGUUCCCCAGUGCUGUGAAUGGUGCAGGAUUGUCAUGCAGAGAUGUCUGUGUGUUCUCCUGGGCACCUCCGGAGCAGUCCCAGGGUGCUGGUGGGGUUGGUUGUGGCUGUCCAACAAAAGGUUUCCACAGCCACAAGCUCAGCUCCCUCUGGGAAUGAAAAAAGCAAGAAAGCAAGACAUAAAAAAAGAUCAGACCUAGUAUAAGUAUUAAGACAUUCUCAGAAAACCCCAAGAGAUGGCAACAUGGUAGAAAGCCAGCCACAAGCUGGAGCAGGGCUGGUAUGGCUUCUCUUGAGAGUUCAGGAGAAUUUCCUGUCUCCCGUGAUGGAGUGAUCUUUCUAUAGCACUUUAUGUAAGAUAUGAAACCCUUUUUCUAUUUCCCAUUGCUCUUGAAGGCUCUGCAACAGCUCUGUACCAGUUGCCUCUAAGCCACAUGCAGAGACCUUGCAGUUCUCAUGGUCCUCUGCAGUGUCAUUCUGCAGGUGCUUGAUCCUCUUAUAACCAUUGAUGAGAAAGACUAGCAAAGAAUGGCUCUAUGUUUGGGGCAAUAUCUAUGGGUGAAAAAAAUAGAGACACACUCUCCCUUCUGUCAUAGAUCUCACAGAGUCAUAGAAUAUCCUGGGUUGGAAGGCAUCCAUAAGGACCGUAGAGUCCAACUUCUGGCUCCACACAGGACCCCCAAAAAACCUGAGAGCAUCAUCCAGAUGCUGCUUUAACUCCAGCAAGUUCUGAGUUCUGACCACUUACUUCCCUGGGGAAGAUCUCUUGGAUGACCUUGGGUGAGUCAUUUAAACUCAGCCAUCUUCUUGGUCUUAAAACUGGAAACUGGUUUGGCUUCCUCAUCUCAGAGUCAUAGAAUCAUAGAAUGAAUCAUAGAACCAUAGAAUGGCUUGGGUUGGAAGAGACCUCAAGGAUCACCAAACUCCAAGCCACAGGCAAGGCUAACAUCUUCCAUAUUUAAUACUAGACCAGGCUGCCCAGGGCCCCAUCCAACCUGGCCUUGAACACCUCCAGGGAUGGGGCAUCCACAGCCUCUGUGGGCAGUCUCUUCCAGCACCUCACCACUCUCAUUGUAAAGAACUUCCCCCUGAUAUCCAACCUAAAUCUUCCCUUCUUGUGUCAGAGUGAGGAGGACCAGGUAAGACCAUAUGGGUUGGUCAUAGAUAAUGGACAGGUUGUGCAGAGCUUGGUUCUCACUGCAUGAAGGCAGUGUUCCCCCUGCAGGGAGUUUGCUGCAGCUCUGGAGCCUCUGAAUUGUGUAUUUUUGGGGGGGAAGGAAAAAUUAUUCAGGUAGCCAAGAAAGCAGAAGAGUGUGAUUUAUAACAGGGAAAAUCCACAGCUUCUCCUGCUGUUGCUUAAAUAAUUGUUAAAGCUGUUGUGGCAUAAGGUAGGGAUGACUUAGAAAGCAGCACCUAUUUCUUUUGAAAUCAGAGCUUCAGCAAAUGCUUCCUGCAUGUUGUGACUGGAGAGAUGAGCUGUCCUUUUUAUUUUUGGUUGCUUUCAUUUCCUCUUUCUUAUUUUUCUUCGUUUCAUGAGAAGAAUGUGUCGCUUGCAGACAAUCAAACUAAAUAAAACUUGGGGAUUUAAAU